rnacentral:tRNA from 1 species
GCGGCCGUAGCUCAGUCAGGUUAGAGCCCCAGGUUGUGAUCCUGGAUGUCGCGGGUUCAAAUCCCGUCGGUCGCCCCA